rnacentral:misc_RNA from 1 species
UUAAGUUCAGCGGGUAGUCCUACCUGAUUUCAGGCCAAAGUUCGAAUAGUUGUCCGUAAUAGACGAUUAGAAGCAGCACGUUCAGAAGAGGCCUAAGGCGAGGGCGCAGAUAAUUAUCACACCGUGCCAAGCACUCUAACAAGCGCAAGCUAAUGCAUUUCAGGACGAGCCAUUUACGGCACGGUCCAAGUCCACAACCU